rnacentral:piRNA from 1 species
UGCUCAGUCUAAUCGUUCCUCAAAAGUUUC